GGGUGAGUAACACGUGGGUAACCUGCCCAUCAGAAGGGGAUAACACUUGGAAACAGGUGCUAAUACCGUAUAACAAUCGAAACCGCAUGGUUUCGAUUUGAAAGGCGCUUUACGGUGCCGCUGAUGGAUGGACCCGCGGUGCAUUAGCUAGUUGGUGAGGUAACGGCUCACCAAGGCCACGAUGCAUAGCCGACCUGAGAGGGUGAUCGGCCACAUUGGGACUGAGACACGGCCCAAACUCCUACGGGAGGCAGCAGUAGGGAAUCUUCGGCAAUGGACGAAAGUCUGACCGAGCAACGCCGCGUGAGUGAAGAAGGUUUUCGGAUCGUAAAACUCUGUUGUUAGAGAAGAACAAGGRUGAGAGUAACUGUUCACCCCUUGACGGUAUCUAACCAGAAAGCCACGGCUAACUACGUGCCAGCAGCCGCGGUAAUACGUAGGUGGCAAGCGUUGUCCGGAUUUAUUGGGCGUAAAGCGAGCGCAGGCGGUUUCUUAAGUCUGAUGUGAAAGCCCCCGGCUCAACCGGGGAGGGUCAUUGGAAACUGGGAGACUUGAGUGCAGAAGAGGAGAGUGGAAUUCCAUGUGUAGCGGUGAAAUGCGUAGAUAUAUGGAGGAACACCAGUGGCGAAGGCGGCUCUCUGGUCUGUAACUGACGCUGAGGCUCGAAAGCGUGGGGAGCAAACAGGAUUAGAUACCCUGGUAGUCCACGCCGUAAACGAUGAGUGCUAAGUGUUGGAGGGUUUCCGCCCUUCAGUGCUGCAGCUAACGCAUUAAGCACUCCGCCUGGGGAGUACGACCGCAAGGUUGAAACUCAAAGGAAUUGACGGGGGCCCGCACAAGCGGUGGAGCAUGUGGUUUAAUUCGAAGCAACGCGAAGAACCUUACCAGGUCUUGACAUCCUUUGACCACUCUAGAGAUAGAGCUUCCCCUUCGGGGGCAAAGUGACAGGUGGUGCAUGGUUGUCGUCAGCUCGUGUCGUGAGAUGUUGGGUUAAGUCCCGCAACGAGCGCAACCCUUAUUGUUAGUUGCCAUCAUUUAGUUGGGCACUCUAGCAAGACUGCCGGUGACAAACCGGAGGAAGGUGGGGAUGACGUCAAAUCAUCAUGCCCCUUAUGACCUGGGCUACACACGUGCUACAAUGGGAAGUACAACGAGUCGCGAAGUCGCGAGGCUAAGCUAAUCUCUUAAAGCUUCUCUCAGUUCGGAUUG
rnacentral:rRNA from 1 species